AUACACAAAUUAAAAUUAAAACCAAAACCAAAACCAAGUUGAAGGUGUGUUUGGCAGAAUGAGUUCACAGAAGAUAAGCAUUCAGAAUGUUCUUGCUCCUACAACAAGGCCACCUCCUAAAUCCAAACCUCCAACCACUGGGACUAAGUUGCCCACUGUCCAACAGGUUUUCGCUACCAAACCAAAAUGAUUUCAUACCAUUUUCUUACAUUACAUUCUAUCAUCAAGGUUCUAUUAGAAGCUAUUUUGAAGGUCCAAGGAAUCAAUUUGUUUCUUGUUCUUCACAAUAACUAUCGCAUAUAUAUUUUUUAUUCAGUUUAUUUUUAUAUUCAAUUGUUUGAUUGUUCAAUAUUUCAUCAUAAUUUACCAAUAUUUAUGUCUAGAAAUAUAGGAUAUCAUCUAGCAUAUCAUAUAGGAUAUGCUGUUUAUGUAGUUAGUUUCCAUCUCUAUUAAAUCAACAAAUCAAUAAAACAUAAAUUAUUCUCUCCGAUUAUUUUUAAAUCUUUUAUUUUUAAUUUAUUGAAUUUUAUUUCAAGAACAAAUUGGUAUCAAAAGCGGUUAUCUUUGAGGAUAAGUGAGUUAAAAGAAACACCAAUGGAGGGAGACACAUACAAUAAGUUAUGGGUUGCAAUGGAUGAUCAACCAUCUUGAAGCAUUGGAUCAUUGGGAGGCACUAGAAAAAAAAUUAUUAUGUUUCUGAGUUGCCUGAAAAUCCAACUAUAGCUCAAAUGAAGUAUCAUAAAGAGGGGAAGAAAAAAAAGACAAAGACAAAAUAUUGUAUUUUUUCUUCUAUGUCAAAAGCUAUUUUUACAUGAAUUAUAAAUUUCAAAUUUUUCUAAAGAGAUUUGAGAUUAUCUUUAA
rnacentral:lncRNA from 1 species